rnacentral:misc_RNA from 1 species
CACGCAAAGAGCAAACAUCCCAAAAUACACAUACACGCAAAGAGGCACGCACACCCCUCGUCGUCGCCCACCCUCCGCUGCUGCCCACACUGCGCCCCCCCCCCCACCACUCCUUCUCCCUCCCACCUACUCCCCCACCCCCUCACGCCCCCUAUGCAGAAGACGACUCUCCAGAUCCUUCGCGAGCAGGAUGACGUCAGCAGCUCCUGCGUGCUCGCACUCCUGAAGGGAAACGCCAACUUUCAGUGCCUCUCCAAGAGCGAGGGUGAGGAUAUCCUCAAGCGCGACAACGAGGAUGCCGAGAAGCUGAGCGACGGCAUCCGCAUCGCCAUUCGCAAGGGCAUCGUGAGCGGAAAGCCGGAUGUGUCGCCAGUGAACAAGCUGAACGUGGUCGGGCUCAGUGCGCAGGAGGUGACGGACAAGAUCGUGGCAGCGCUCCCAUCCAAGAACGGCAAUGUCAUCAUUCUGCAGGGACUCAGCGGCACUGGCAAGGGCACCACCGUGAGCAAGCUCAAGGAUGCGCUGCCUAAGUGCGUCACGUGGAGCAACGGCAACAUUUUCCGCAGCUACACGUAUCUGUGCAACGAGGUUCUCGCUGCCCAGGGGAAGGAAAUCACGGAAGAGAGCUUGACUGAUGAGCUACUCUCCUCCGUCGAGAAGCGCGUCACGUUUGUGAAAUGUGAGGACGGGAUGUUUCAUACGAUGCUCGACGGCACGACGCGCGUGGCCGAUGUGCAGAACACGUUGCUCAAGACCCCACUUAUCAGUUCCAAGGUACCGACGGUAGCCCAGCAGACCCAGGGCGAGGUCAUCCGCUUCGGCGCUGGUGCCGUCAAGCAGCUCAGCGCCGACGGCUACAACGUCAUUCUCGAGGGCCGCUCGCAGACGCUGGACUACAUUGCGAGCCCCCUCCGCUUCGAGCUCGUCAUCCCAGAUGUGGAGGUGCUCGGCCAGCGCCGUGCAGCGCAGCGCGUCAUGGCCAAGGCGCUGGAGAUGUUGGACGACAGCGCCUCAGACGAGGAGGUCAGCAAGGUGCUGGUGAAGGCAGUCGAGACCCUGCAGCAGCAGUAGAUGCUGCGGCUGAGGAUGCCGCGCACGCGCCUCUGCGCUAUGAGGAGACAGUGUCUGUAGUCAGUCUGUCCCCCUUUUCCCUUCUCUCCUCUUACCCUCGAACUCUCACGGCAGUCACGAUCCUCGUCGGUGGCGUCAUAAGCAGACUGUCGAUUCUUACAUGGCGCUCGCACACCCAUGUGUACUUCUCGCUGAUUUGUUUGUUUCGUUUUCGUUGUGUGUUGCUCCCUCCUCCCGCUUCACUGUGUAUAUAUAUAUAUAUAUGUGUGUGUGACUGUGCCUUCACCUUUCCUUCUGUGUGGUGAUCGCACAUCUGCGUGGGUGAGCGUGUUGGUGGUGUCACGAGGCUGGGCCGUCUGUCGACAUCUUCCCUCGCUUUUCGUUCUCCUGCCCAUGUUAUCUUCUGCCGAGUGUGCAGCUCGUCUCCCUGCCUGCGUGUUUCACGUGCGCGUCUGUGUUGAUGUGGAUAAGUGUGGCACCUUCUUCGCUGGGCGAUGUGGCUCCACAGCCGUCGCAGCAGCAUUAGUCGCGGUGAUGGUGAGAGUAUGGAUGGACGUGGCCCCGUCCGUGUCUCCCUCCUCCCCACCCCCCCACACCCAACACAGACAGGCACGCAUACGCAGGCCAUGCAGGUAC